rnacentral:rRNA from 1 species
UUUUUUGGUACUUUCGGGGACUGCCAUCCUUGGGCGGAUCCUGUGUGGCAUUAGGUUGUCGUGCAGGGGAUGCCCAUCGUUUACUGUGAAAAAAUCAGAGUGUUCAAAGCAGGCUUAUGCCGUUGAAUGUAUUAGCAUGGAAUAAUGAGAUAGGACCUUGGUACUAUUUUGUUGGUUUGCGCACCGAGGUAAUGAUUAAUAGGGACAGUUGUGGGUAUUCGUAUUCCAUUGUCAGAGGUGAAAUUCUUGGAUUUCUGGAAGACGAACUAAUGCGAAAGCAUUUACCAAGGAUGUUUUCAUUAAUCAAGAACGAAAGUUAGGGGAUCGAAGAUGAUUAGAUU